UUUUAUUGUUAAAAUGUAUUUAUUUGACUAAUUUAAGAAUGUUUUUAAAAUAGUUUUGGUUGACUAUAAAUUUGUUUAUAAAAACCGUUAAAAACCCGCAAUACCUGAUCAUUCAUUCUGAGAUUGGGCCGCCUGUGGAUGUACUGUGCAAAUAUAUAAAACGUCAUAUUUAUAGAUAUUUGAUUGACAUGUUUACGCACAGGCCACGCAUUUCAUACCGCAUGGGUUUUCCCUGAGUUUUUAUA